rnacentral:rRNA from 1 species
UACGGGGGGGGCAAGCGUUGUUCGGAAUUACUGGGCGUAAAGGGCGCGUAGGCGGCCUACUAAGUCGGACGUGAAAUCCCUCGGCUCAACCGAGGAACUGCGUCCGAUACUGGCAGGCUGGAAUCCGGGAGAGGGAUGUGGAAUUCCAGGUGUAGCGGUGAAAUGCGUAGAUAUCUGGAGGAACACCGGUGGCGAAGGCGGCGUCCUGGACCAACACUGACACUGAGGGGCGAAAGCCAGGGGAGCAAACGGG